rnacentral:rRNA from 1 species
UACAGAGGUCUCAACCGUUGUUCGGAUUUAUUGGGCGUAAAGGGUGCGUAGGUGGUCGUGUAAGUCGGGUGUGAAAUCCUAGGGCUCAACCCUGGAACUGCACUCGAUACUGCAUGGCUUGAGCGCUGGAAAGGAGACUGGAAUUUACGGUGUAGCAGUGAAAUGCGUAGAUAUCGUAAGGAAGACCAGUGGCGAAAGCGAGUCUCUGGACAGAUGCUGACACUGAGGCACGAAGGCCAGGGGAGCAAACGGGAUUAGAUACCCCGGUAGUCCUGGCAGUAAACGGUGCACGUUUGGUGUAGGCGGAUUCGACCCCGUCUGCGCCGUAGCUAACGCGUUAAACGUGCCGCCUGGGAAGUACGGUCGCAAGAUUA